rnacentral:rRNA from 1 species
GCCCUGGCUGGGCGGUCUGCCUCACGGUAUGUACUGUCUGGCUGGGGCUUACCUCUUGGUGAGCUUGCAUGUCGUUUACUCGGCGUGUAAGGGAACCAGGACUUUUACCUUGAGAAAAUUAGAGUGUUCAAAGCAGGCAUUUGCCCGAAUACAUUAGCAUGGAAUAAUAGAAUAGGACGU